CCUACGGGUGGCUGCAGUGAGGAAUAUUGGACAAUGGGCGCAAGCCUGAUCCAGCCAUGCCGCGUGCAGGAUGACGGUCCUAUGGAUUGUAAACUGCUUUUGCACAGGAAGAAACAACAUUACGAGUAAUGUCUUGACGGUACUGUGAGAAUAAGGAUCGGCUAACUCCGUGCCAGCAGCCGCGGUAAUACGGAGGAUCCAAGCGUUAUCCGGAAUCAUUGGGUUUAAAGGGUCCGUAGGCGGUUUAAUAAGUCAGUGGUGAAAGCCCAUCGCUCAACGGUGGAACGGCCAUUGAUACUGUUAAACUUGAAUUAUUAGGAAGUAACUAGAAUAUGUAGUGUAGCGGUGAAAUGCUUAGAGAUUACAUGGAAUACCAAUUGCGAAGGCAGGUUACUACUAAUUGAUUGACGCUGAUGGACGAAAGCGUGGGUAGCGAACAGGAUUAGAUACCCCAGUAGUC
rnacentral:rRNA from 1 species